AACGAACGCUGGCGGCAUGCCUAACACAUGCAAGUCGAACGAGACCUUCGGGUCUAGUGCCGCACGGGUGCGUAACGCGUGGGAACCUGCCCUUAGGUUCGGAAUAACUCCCCGAAAGGGGUGCUAAUACCGGCUAAUGUCUUCGGACCAAAGAUUUAUCGCCUUUGGGUGGGCCCGCGUUGGAUUAGCUAGUUGGUAGGGUAACAGCCUACCAAGGCGACGAUCCAUAGCUGGUCUGAGAGGAUGAUCAGCCACACUGGGACUGAGACACGGCCCAGACUCCUACGGGAGGCAGCAGUGGGGAAUCUUGGCAAAUGGGCGAAAGCAUGAUCCAGCAAUGCCGCGUGAGUGAUGAAGGCCUUAGGGUUGUAAAGCUCUUUUACACGGGAUGAUAAUGACAGUACCGGAAGAAUAAGCUCCGGCUAACUCCGUG
rnacentral:rRNA from 1 species